rnacentral:lncRNA from 1 species
CGCGCGGCGCGGCGACGGGAACAUCGGCGGCGGCGGCGCGGCGGCGGGAUCGGCUGCGGAGCGGUGGCUCGAGGAGGUUCGGUUCAUAUAUAACCCUAUCUUCGUUUUCUCUGUAUAAUUAAUAAUAAUAAUAAUAAUAAUAAUAAUAAUAGUAAUAACUACUACUACUGCUUUGUUUGUGUUAGAGAGAGAGAGAGAGAGAGAGAGUAGAGAGAGAAAGGGGGGAUGAGGAUGAUAAAAGGGAGAGGGGCGGCUAAGGAUGGCGAUGUGUACGGAUACCAGAAAUUUUAUUCGAACCUGUAUUCCAACGGAGCAGAUUUAUUCUAUGCUAAAAGAACAUGAUUUCGAACAUGGAUAUCAAAAAUAAAAAUGCAACGGAUAUAAAUUUGGAUAUAAAUUUUGACUGUAUCCGAACCGAAUAUGCAUCCGACCUAAACCCGAAUUAUAUUUAAUUUUGUAUUUUAAAAUUUUAGAUUGAGUGUAAUAUAUUUUGAAAUAUUGAGAAGAGAAAUAAUUAUUUUUGGUUUAGAUUUUUGGGUUCGAAUUCGAAUUUUGAAUUGUUAAUCAGAUUCGGAUUUAAAUAUGAAUUUUUACAAUAUAUCGAGUUCGGAUUUAGAGUCGAAUUCAGUUCAAAUUUUUAAAAAUUCAUCCCGAAUCUGACCAGGUCUUUGGGGCGGCUCGUGAUUUGCCCUAGGGAGUAGCGUGGCGGUGGUGGUGGGGACCUCUGGAAUAGUAAAAUAUGGAAGAUUCGCUUCGGAGGAGUUGCUAUUUAUUUAUUUAUUUAUUUAUGAGUUUAGAAAAUUGAGGGGAUUGAUGGUGAUUAGCAUUGCUAAGAAGUGUGACAUUUUUGUCCGUUUCACCCAAGUUGGAGUUUGGAUUAAACUAGGUUUUAAUGAAUUAGAAUUUAGAUUAAAAAAAAAAUUCUUUCACUAUUUAUUUUUCUAUCUCUCAGUUAUAGUUUUUCGAGUUUUAUUAUUUAUUUAGUAAAAAAUAAAUAAUAUAAAAAUUAAAAAAAAUAAUAUUUUAUUAUUAUUAUUAUUAUUAUUGACAUUGACUUCGGCCUCAGGUGGCCGCCGAAGUCUGUUUGGAUGCUUGAAUAUUUUGUUGGGUAUAUAUAAAAAGAGUAAUGCUACAUAUACAUUCUACUUUGGAGGUAUAUUUUACACCUUAUUCAUCUAAUAGGUGAGAUGUUUUUACUAAUUAUUUGAUGUGACUGGUAGUUAACACCCUACCUUUUGAAUAGGUGGGAUGUAUAAGUAGCAUUUUCCAUAUAAGAAUGACUACGGGAUAGAGUGGGGACGGGACCUUCCCCAUUUCCAUCCCCGUGGGCUUUUAGAAUCCCCGUUCUAGCCAAAUCUCCUUUAAUGGAAAAUACCCGUCCCUCCGGAAUUUCGUAGAUCUUUUGAAAAUAUACUAAAUUAAUUGUAACACACUUAAGAUUUGAAAUAUUUCUGUAUAUAAGAUGUAAUACGGCUAAACCUCUUAAUUCGGCUAUAAUAUUUUGGGCGGUGAUUAAACGUAAGAGAUUAAGAGGGUUAAACAUAUUAGGAUUAAAGUAAUUCUAGAAUGGACAACCCCCUUGGGAAUAGGGACGUCACAGUUGGUAUCAGAGUAAAUUACCGGCCAGAAUUGUGUAGGAUGAAUCUCCGCUGAGCUAGGGUCAUGCGGUGUGUAGAGCGCGGCUCCCCGAUUAACGGUCGUUAUGGAUGGAGCGCAAUUUUUCAUAAGGUCAGCUAAAAUUAGUAAGACGAGUCUCAUAUUACUUGACCCUUGUGGAUAUUUUUGAGCUUCACGAAGACAUCAAGAUUUAAAAGGAAGAUGAAUAUAACACCUCUAGAAUUUCGAAUAAUCGGCUAAACUUUUUAACCCAUUUAUAACAUUUUAGAUGGUGGCUAAAUUUAAGAAGUUAAGAGAGUUGAGCGUAUUAGGCUAUAAUAAUUCUAAAAUAUAUGACCUACCUAGAAAAACGGGCGUACGUCACAUUACCUUUUUCAUUUAAAAUUUAAUUCAAUUUUAAUUCAAAUUAUCUUAAAUUUUAUCCACUUUUACGUUUAUUUUUUUCAAUAUCAAAUUAUUAAUUUUGACUUAUUAAAUUACUAUAAUAGCAAUCAAAUAUUAUUUAAUUGAUAUAUUAUAUAAAAAAGUAUACAUAUUAAAAAUACUUAAUUAAACUUAAAAUAUAUUAAAAAUAUUAGAAUUAAUUUUUUACAUUUACUAGUUAUAGUGUACGUACAAUACACGUCACAUUUACUAAUUAAUUUAAAUUUAAAUAUAAUUUUCCUAUAAAAUGAAAUCUAAAUUUGUAUUUUAAAUUUAAAUAUUUAUCGGUAGCAUGAGUCCAUUUUUCAAUUAAUCUAGUUUCUAAAUUUGAUUUGUUUCAGUUUAUUUUUAGUUUGUUAAUUAUAAUUAUUUUUUUUAAUAAUAUGUAUGGAAUAUUUUUUAUUCCAUAUAGAAUUCCAUCUGACAAUUCCUAUCCACUUUUACUUGAAAAGUUUAUGUAUUUACUUGAUAGAGAGAGUGAUCAAAUGUCUAAAAUUGAAUGCUAUAUUUAGUCUUUAAAUUAUUUUUUCAAAUAAAAUAAAUUACCUAUUAGGUGAAAUAUGCUAUGUUAUCAACUAUGGAUAGCAAAACCAUUCAAAAAAGCAAAAAGUCUACUAUCAUAUUAAAAAAUUUUCAAAUAGAAUAAUUUAUCCUUAGAUAACUUAUUCCAAUGUCGAGACAGGCCAUAAUAUUUUUUGAAAAUUCAUUCACAACCAGUUAAAACUCUAUACGCAUGAAUGCCAAUAUAUUAACAAUAUAUUUAAAAACAGGUUUUAGAGAGACCUUAUCACACAUGACAGUGUUUUUAUUUUUUCCCCUUUGUUUUCUUUUCCCUCUAGGCUAUUGUGCACCAUGUGAGGCAUGAUUUUGGCAGUACCUGUGUCAGUUAAAAGAUUUGGUGAGAUAAAUAAACUGUUGUUAAACAGCAAAUGAUUGGGUUUUUGUGGUUUGUGGGAAAACAUGCAAUUAGGGAAAAAAAAAAAAAAAAAAAAAAAAACUAUAUUUGAAGUAGUUAAACAAAAAGAAACAAAAAAGCCUUUAUGAAUAGAUUUUGGGAGCACUCUUUAGCCUGAAGUGGCAAGGAUCUGCUUUAAUGCUUAUCCUACUACUAGCUCUUAAGAAGCUAUUGUUCAUGGUAUGGAUUGGGUGGUGGUACAAGGGAGGUUAUUUUCUUUCCUUGGAAGUGAUCAUCAUAUGUAAGUUAGGGCACCUUAUGUUUCUGGCCCGAUUUCGUUAUAAUUGGUAUGAAUGUGGUACAGUUUCAACAAGCGAGUGAUUCAGCAAUAAAUACUGAACUUUCUGUGAGGUUAGGUAGCUUUUACGAUACGUGGUGGUCCUUAAUUCGACGGUGGGAGCGUGAGAAUUGCGCCAAUGGCAGAUAAAUACUAAAGAUAUCUAAAAAGGAUUGGUUAAACAUAGUUGAUAAGUCAAAUUUUUCAACGUAACAUUUGAGAUAGAACGCUUUCUUGUAACUUUGAGCCAUUCAAUCCAAUUGCAGUAGAUUGUCAAGAAUAAAGGUAAGUGAGUUGCCUGAGUUACAUUAAUUCUAUUAUUUUAAAGCAACUCUUUUAUCUCUUGUAAAAUUAUAGGAAACAAUCAUUUUCUCAAAAAGCUUAAACUGUCAGAAAAUAAUAUUUUUAAUAUUUAUAUUCAACACUCCCUCUUACGUCUCGAUUCAAAUAAGGCGUGGACUUGAAUUAAAUGGAGAAAAUUAAAUGAGACUAGGGGCUUGGUGAGACUCGAAUUUAAAACCUUCUGUUCUGACUUCUGAUACGAUGUGAAAUUAUAUAAAACAACCAUUUUCUCAAAAAACUUAAGCCGUUAGAUUAUAAUGUUUUUAAUAUUUAUAUUUAAUAUUUCUAAGCUUAUAUAAAUAUAUAAAACUGGCUCAUUCUAUCAUAUAACAAGCCGGCUAAAAUGAAUGGCUGGUGUUAAAAAAAAAAAAGAAAAAAAGAAAAAAAAAAAAAAGCUCUUCUACCUGAAGAUGGGUUUAGUCUCUUUUUUUUUUAGCAAUACACUAAUUAAAUAACAGAUGAGGAAAUUAGAUUAAAUUGAUACAUUUUUAGAUCUUCAAGAGCGAUUAAAAGUUUGGUAGAAAUAUACAAAACUUAUCUGAACUAUAGACUAUUUUGAUUCGACCAUCUAAUCUUUCAAAAUUUUAAUUUUAGCACCCAACAUUUCAAAUUGUUUGAUCUAAGUAAUUUGUUGGUUCUUCGGAUAUAAAAUUUAAGCUAAUUGCUUUACUUUAAUAAAUAUAUGUCAUAUAAAUUGCAUAAAAUAUACUAACUAAAUUCAUAAAGUUAAAUAACGCAUUCGAAUUUUAAAGUUAAAAAGUCAUUAAUUAAUUGGGUCACAUCAAAUAAAUUAAAAGAUCAGAUAGUAAAACCAAAAGUUCUAAAGGUUCAGUGGUCGGAUUCAAAAAGAUGAUAGUUGAGGUAAGUUUUAUACAGAAUUACCUAAAAUUUAUUUAAAGCGUAGGAGCCAAAGUAAAACUUUCGGAUCGAGCCGUUCGGGGAUUAACCUUGGAAUUUACCCUUGUGUUCCAUAAUACUAAGCAACAACAUUGUAUUUAGGACUCUAUUAUGUAUGGCCAAAGCUGUUCAAAAGAACUUUACUUCUUCAGUUUUUGGAUCUAAAAAGUAUAUAUUUAAGUGAAAAUAAGUGGAUAUAUUAUUUGUUCAAUCCAGUUUUUGCUAGCUGUUAUAAUUGGCUUCUUCUUCUUUUUUUACAUUUUCAUAUCUAUGUUGGAUUAGGCCCAAAUUUUAAUGCCAAGAAUGCUACAAGUGGACAUGUCUCCAAUAAUUUAGUUAUAAAUGACUUUAAUAUUUGAAUUACUAGUGGUUAUGAAGGUAUCUAAAUGGUCUAUUUUGUGAAUUGGUUUAUUUUCUUUUAUAUUCUCAGGGAAGUGGUUUAUGUUGAUUUGACUUUUUUUUUCCCUUAAUUUUUCUAGACUUAGGAGGGUCCUUUUUGGUCAAUGUUUUUUAUGGAUUUUUUUCUUUUUCUUUUUCCUUUUUUUUUUUUUAUGGAACUUUAUGGUCAAAUUUGUAUUGAGAUGGAUACAACUAGAUAAAAGCUUGUUUAUUUCAAAAGGUUUAAGUUACAACCAGAUAUCUUUUUUUCAUACUCUUUUAUAAGCUAUAUUUUAGGUCUGGUUCAGUAUGAAUGCAAUCUACUUAUCAUUUUUAAAAAAAUGAGUGUAAUCUAUUUGAAUUGAUUAUGUGAAAAAGAUGUAAAUUAGUUUAAUCUACAAUACUAAAUUAAGGCUGCGUUUGGUUCGGGUUAGCCUAGCCGGAUUACAGGCAAUCAUGUCAGGAUUACUGCGUUUGGCUCAUCCGGUAUGUAAUCUAUUUGGUAUUAGAUGUAUUCUUGAAUGUGAAUCCUCGACGGUGGCUGCUUUGACGUGGGUCUUUGGACUGAGCGAGCAGGCCGCGCGUAGGCGGUAUGGCCGCGGAUGUUGUCGGGCGCAUGAAGCACAACGGUGGAAAAUGUGACCUAGCUUGGUGGCCAGCCUCAGUAUUGGGGUUGCUCGUUGGGGAACUCGUGGAGUCCGACGAGGGGUUCGAAUGCAGGCGAUUGGUUGAGCUGUCAGUCUCGCGCAGAAGCAAGCUUGGCAAAUGCUUGGAUUGAUAUUCCGCUGUUAAGUUUGGGAGACUUGUCUAUGUUAAGACUUGGGGAAGACUUGCUCAUCUUCGAGCAGGAAGGGGGCGCCGCACGGGCUUUACGAAGAAAAAAGUUAUGUCCGUGACAGUUGGUGUGUAAGAUUACACCGAAAAAUAUUACCGAUGAGAGGGUGUGUAUCUUGGAUUACUGAAAGCAACUAAUCUUGCAUGUUAUAUAAAAUUACAAGUUUAUCCGUCCAACUCCCUAAACCCUCUCAAUAUGUCAUUUUGAAAAUUUUAAUAUAAAAUUUUGAGUUGUCAAAUUUUAAAUUUUAAAUUUAGAUUUUAAAUUUUAAAUUUUAAAUUUUAAAUUUUAAAUUUUGAAACUUCAAAUUUAAAAUUUAAAAUUUAAAAUUUAAAAUUUAAAAUUUUUAUUUUUAUUUUAAAUUUUAAAUUUUUAGUUUCAAAGUUUAAAUUUCAAAGUUUAAAUUUUAAAUUUUAAAUUUUAAUUUUUAAUUUUUAAUUUUUAAUUUUUAAAUUUUAAAUUUUAAAUUUCAAAUUUGUAUUUAAAAUUUUAAAUUCUAAAUUUUAAAUUUUGAAUUUAAAUUUAUAUUUAAAUUUUAAAUUUUAAAUUUAUAAAUUUUAUAUAUACAUUUGAAAUUAAAAUAUUAAAUUUUAUAUUUUUGUUUCUAAUUUAAAAAUUUUUAAAAAUCUAAAUUAUUUAAAAUAAAAUUUAGAAAAAAAUAUUAUUUGUAAACAGUAAAAAAAAUUUUGCCAAAUAUGGCUAAGGGUAAUUUUAGAAUAAACUAUACUUUAUUGUCAAGAUUACUAAUUUUAUAGACUGAAUCAAAUAUAAUAAUACUAUAAACACUGCAAUCCAACAUUACAUUACUAUAUUAAACCAAACAUGCUAAUACAAAAUCAAUAGUAAUAUCAUUUAGAAAUUCAAGAUAUCUAUAUAUAUCGAAAUAUUUUGUAAUAUUACAUAACUCGAACCAAAUGCACCCUAAGGGCAUGUUUGGUUCACACUUUUUUCACCCUGAAAUCGGAAUUGGAAUGGGUGAAUCUGUUUGUGGGUGUUUGGUACGCGGGAGUCCCAUUCCAAUUUUGAUUCCCGAAUAGAAUGGGAAUCCUCUAAUCACCUCUUUUUUCAAUCCGGCCUAGGAGGUCGGAUUGGAAGUUGAAUCCGAACGGAAUGGAUAUUUAUUCCGAUUAAAUUUAUUUUUUCAACUUUUUUAAUUAAAAUAUUAGUUAAAAUUAAAAAAUUGAAUAUAUAAUUUUAAAUUUUAAUUUGAACUUAAAUUAAAAAUUAAAAUUUAAUCAAGUAUUUCGAAUCUAACUUAUGAAUUUGAAUUUAAAUUAAAUUUUAAUUUAUAUAAAGUUUUAUUCAAAUUUUAUUUCAAACUUAAAUUAAAUUUAUGAAUUCAAAUUAAAAUUUAAAUU